rnacentral:rRNA from 1 species
CGAGAUUCCCCCAGUAGCGGCGAGCGAACGGGGAGGAGCCCAGAGCCUGAAUCAGUGUGUGUGUUAGUGGAAGUGUCUGGAAAGGCGCGCGAUACAGGGUGACAGCCCCGUACACAAAAAUGCACAUACUGUGAGCUCGAUGAGUAGGGCGGGACACGUGGUAUCCUGUCUGAAUAUGGGGGGACCAUCCUCCAAGGCUAA